GGCGGGGCCGGAAGUGGUGUUGAGCGAGGUACGCUGGCGGUCGGCAGGUUAGGCGGGAGGCUCGCGGCUCUGGGCUGGAGGUCAAGGAUGCAUUCCAAGAAAGCUCUAAAGAUAUAUCACCAGCUCCAACCGUAUAGCUGACCUAGCCAUGGAAAACCUCACUGGAACCUUACUAGAUCAAAGCGUAAUCUUAAAAAAUAUGCUUCCCAUCAGAAAGUAUCAGGAAUAAAAAUCUGAGAUGUAUACCCACCACUUCAAGGAAGUUCCAGUGUCAGCCAACAGUUUAGCAGAUCAGCUAGUUUCUUUGAUCAAGCAGACGUAGUCAAGCUACCAACACAACAGAAGAAAAUGUCUCUGUAUUUUUCAUGUUAUGUGUGGGACCCAUUUAGUAGGUCAUGAAAUCAAUUUUGUGAGUCAUGGUGAACAUUUUUAAAAACAAAAUAAAAUUUGAAAUAUCA